rnacentral:rRNA from 1 species
UACGGGGGGGGCUAGCGUUGUUCGGAAUUACUGGGCGGAAAGGGCUCGUAGGUGGCCAACUAAGUCAGACGUGAAAUCCCUCGGCUUAACCGGGGAACUGCGUCUGAUACUGGAUGGCUUGAAUCCGGGAGAGGGAUGCGGAAUUCCAGGUGUAGCGGUGAAAUGCGUAGAUAUCUGGAGGAACACCGGUGGCGAAGGCGGCAUCCUGGACCGGCAUUGACACUGAGGAGCGAAAGCCAGGGGAGCAAACGGG